CGUAGGGUGCGAGCGUUAAUCGGAAUUACUGGGCGUAAAGUGUGCGCAGGCGGCCGCGCAAGUCGAGUGUGAAAGCCCCGAGCUUAACUUGGGAACUGCGCUCGAAACUACGUGGCUGGAGUGUGGCAGAGGAAGGUGGAAUUCCAGGUGUAGCGGUGAAAUGCGUAGAGAUCUGGAGGAACACCGAUGGCGAAGGCAGCCUUCUGGGCCAACACUGACGCUCAUGCACGAAAGCGUGGGGAGCAAACAGGAUUAGAUACCCUGGUAGUCCACGCCCUAAACGAUGAUGACUAGUUGUUGGAGGAGUUAAAUCCUUUAGUAACGCAGCUAACGCGUGAAGUCAUCCGCCUGGGGAGUACGGUCGCGAGAUUA
rnacentral:rRNA from 1 species